AUACGGGGAGUGCAAGCGUUAUUCGGAUUUACUGGGCGUAAAGGGUGUGUAGGCGGCUUAUUAAGUCUGCUGUUAAAUUUCCCGGCUUAACCGGGAGUCAGCGGUGGAUACUGAUAGGCUAGAGUGUGGAAGAGGGAAGUGGAAUUCUCGGAGUAGCGGUAAAAUGCGUAGAUCUCGAGAGGAACACCGAUGGCGAAGGCAGCUUCUUGGUCCAUUACUGACGCUGAGACACGAAAGCGUGGGGAGCAAACAGGAUUAGAUACCCUGGUAGUCCACGCUGUAAACGAUGAUCACUAGAUGUCAGCUCUGCUUGCAGAGUUGGUGUCGUAGCUAACGCAUUAAGUGAUCCGCCUGGGGAGUACGGUCGCAAGAUUAAA
rnacentral:rRNA from 1 species